rnacentral:rRNA from 1 species
UACGGAGGGUGCAAGCGUUAUCCGGAUUUACUGGGUUUAAAGGGAGCGUAGGUGGGUUGGUAAGUCAGUGGUGAAAUCUUCGAGCUUAACUCGGAAACUGCCAUUGAUACUAUCAAUCUUGAAUUAUCUGGAGGUAAGCGGAAUAUGUCAUGUAGCGGCGAAAUGCUUAGAUAUGACAUAGAACACCCAUUGCGAAGGCAGCUUACUACGGAUAUAUUGACACUGAGGCUCGAAAGCGUGGGGAUCAAACAGG